UGUCCCAAAAGAAACAAAAGGGAUAAACAAUGGACAAAUACAGAACUUAUGGCAAUGUUUAAUGCUUAGCACAUUUGGAGGGUUGACAAUCAACUAACUGACAUGAGAUCACAAUGUAUAAACCAGCAGACGAGAAAAAACCGUUAGGACGACCAAGACAAUGCAAUGAAGUGAUCAAGUCAGGAAGACCUCAAGCUUAUGAUAAUAAACAAUAGAGAACAUGAACAUAUAGCCAUGAUCACUAAUAUAGUGUAAU